CUUCAAUUCUCUGCUGCUGGGCAAACAGUUUCUUGCUUGAGUGAAGAAGAGGUCGAGGAUGUCGUCAUGGAGGUGGAGAGUACUGGUGGUGUUCGCUCAUCCGCAGAAAAUGGCAAUAAAGAAAAUUCCCAAAGCUCAAAACCGAAUGAAAACAAUGGUGCUCUUGAUGUUGAUAUGGGCAAUCCAGGGUCCUUGAACACUCCGGAAACCACCCAAGAGUUACUUUUGAUCCCCCAUUUGAUGCGUCACUCCCAUAUCAUGAACUAGUUGG